UUAUAAAGGAAGUUAACACUUAAAAAUUUUAUUGUGCCACAUGUAUUGGAACUGUUAGGCCACAACCUGAAGGAGUGAUUGAGCAGCUGGUGAAGAGGCGUGGCCAGUCCCAGGAGCACAAGUGGAAGCGGUUAACCUUUGUGACCCUAACCUCAUUUAAAGGCUGGAUGCCACAAGGGAAGUGUCUCAACUUAGAGAUGACCUCCUUUGGAGUGUUUGCUAAGCCCUGAUCCUUAAAAAGGGACUCUAUUGUAAUACUAGAAGCAUCCCCAGACCAUUUUGCUGACUUCUGAACUCAUGGUGGAAAGAGAGGAAGAAGUCUAGAGUCCUCCAAGUUGUAGUGGUAUCUGUGUCAGUAUAAGGAAGAAAAAAAUGCUGCCUUUGGUUAUCUUCACUUGUCAUGCCAAGUUUCUGAAAACCAUGCAAAUCAUGGUCCAUGCCUUUUAUUUGUCCUGGAAGACACCCAGCAUGCUUUUGGGAACUGUAAAAAUAGUACUUUUAAAUGUGACACCUAACAUGGAUUAACAUCAGCAGCAGAUCCAUCAUCUGUAUCAUCCAAAGUCUGUUUGAUUUCAUA
rnacentral:lncRNA from 1 species